UUUAAAAUUAGAGUUUUAAAAAUCAAAUCUUUCCUUGAUUUCUUUCAAUCUCUCUUUCUCUUCUUUCUUUCUCGCGCUCUUUCUCUGGUUGAUUUUCUCUUAUCAUCUUCUUCGUCCAUAACAACGACGUGGUAGAAGUAUUGGACAAGUCACAGGCGAGAGAGUUGAAAAUCAAGAAGAGGAGAGGAAGAUCUAAAAGACGAGGAGGCGGAGGAGGAGAUUCAAGCUUCAGGAGCCGAGGCGAACAGAGCUUUCACGGCGAUUUCAGAGGCGGCAGAGUGGGGAAGAAGCAGCACAGCAAGGAUAGGAUGUUCAUCGCACCCCCUUCAAGCAACUUCCUUUCUGUUGCUGCGCGCUUUCAUUUACUCUGUUUGAAUAUCCGGUGUGCACAACUGAUGGGGGUAUAUGAUAAAUUGGGUUUGAAAAUUUACUGGAACAUAAUCCCGUAGCAUAAUCCCGUGCAAAUUGGGUGCAAAUUGUGAGUUACUUGUUUGUUGAGGGUCCUUAAAAAGGAGAACUCAAAGUUAUUAACUGCCUCUGCAGUGUUUCUUCCAGUUCACCCAAUGAUGGAUUCAGUUAUUCAGACUAGGAUGAUGGAGCUUACAAGGGAGCCAGAAGCACCAGACAGGGCAGUGGCUCAAUGGCAUCUCUGGAAGAGUGUAGUGGCAGAAUGGUGUGCCGCAUUUAAAGAGAAGAUUGGGAGAUCUCGAUGUCGGCAAUGGUGGAAUGAUGCGACAAAAGAAGGGAGCACACAGACAAGCUUUUGGUGGUUUGAAGUCACUCCCUCAAAGCAUCAGAAUGAGUUUCCAUCAGUGCCUCCUGUAAACUCAGCUUACUCUAUCCAGUCAGAUGCAGUUGAAAAUGAAUCAUAUCAAAGCUCCCCAAAGUACCCUAGCAGACAGGGAGUUUUCAUAUUUUUGUAAUUAGAGGACUUGCGAGAGAUAGUGAAAUCCAAGAGGGUAGUGUUCUGGAAGCUGAAGUUGAGCUGUUCAAGAAGUUUUUAGAGACAAGUGAGUGAUUUGUAUAUUUAUCCAAAAGUUUUAUUUGUUUUGGGCAUUGAUUUUAUAUGUUAUUUUGAACUUUGCAUUUGGCCUUUAUGUUAAAAGCUUUUUAUCUUGAUCAUUGGUUAGGAAAUCUAUUUUGUUUUUUUAUUGGUGCCUUUUAUAUUAACCAGGUGGACCUUUCAUAAGUUCCCUAUUCUAUUUUAGUUAAUUUUCAAUAUUUUUAUGUGUAUUUAUUAUUUGUUACCAUUUUGGAUUUUUAUGUUCUCCUCCAUUAUGGGGCUGGCAAUGUUCAAAGUGUUAGGAAUGCUAUAGUUUUAAUAUUAAUUCUUUUAUGAUGUUCUUAGUAUGCUUCUGAUAACUUCUGCUAAGCCAACUUGAUAGAGAAUGUGAAUUCCUAGACACAGAAGAGGAUAAUGAAUGACAAUCUUCUAAUUGGGCUUCAAAAAAUGAGUUGUGUUCCGAAUUGUUUGAAGAUCAAGCAAAAGACAUUGGUUAAUAUGGCUGUUGAUAGUGGAUGUUACAUAUAUCAAAGUCCAAGCUUAAAUAUUCUCAUUGAUUAUCCCAACUUUAAAAAGAUGACUUCAUUGCAAUUUCAUGAUUGGCCUAAGAGUUGGUCCAAUGGAGGAUAGCCAGGAAAUUGAGGAGCAGGUGCAGGAAGAAGUGAUUUCAGACAAUGGAACUGAAAAGAAGCAGGAAACUCGUGAUGAGAUGCUUUCGCAGCACAGUGGAUCCUCAAAAGUUAAUGCUGUACUGGAGUUUGUUCUGGAGUUGCAAAUUUGUGGAGGAGACUUUAUUUGUGUGCUAGAUCCAC